GUAGGGAAUAUUGCGCAAUGGACGAAAGCCUGACGCAGCCAUGCCGCGUGAAUGAUGAAGGUCUUAGGAUUGUAAAAUUCUUUCACCGGGGACGAUAAUGACGGUACCCGGAGAAGAAGCUCCGGCUAACUUCGUGCCAGCAGCCGCGGUAAUACGAAGGGGGCUAGCGUUGCUCGGAAUUACUGGGCGUAAAGGGCGCGUAGGCGGACAGCUUAGUCAGAGGUGAAAGCCCAGGGUGAAACCUUGGAAUUGACUUUGAUACUGGCUGUCUUGAGUGUGGGAGAGGUGAGUGGAACUCCGAGUGUAGAGGUGAAAUUCGUAGAUAUUCGGAAGAACACCAGUGGCGAAGGCGACUCACUGGCCCAAUACUGACGCUGAGGCGCGAAAGCGUGGGGAGCAAACAGGAUUAGAAACCCGUGUGGUCC
rnacentral:rRNA from 1 species